rnacentral:rRNA from 1 species
GAUGAACGCUGGCGGCGUGCCUAAUACAUGCAAGUCGAGCGAAAAGACGAGGAGCUUGCUCCUCUCACGUUUGCGGCGGAGGGGUGAGUAACACGUGGAUAACCUACCUAUAAGACUGGGAUAACUUCGGGAAACCGGAUCUAAUCCCGGAUAAUAUCUUGAACCGUAUGGUUCAAUAGUGAAAGACGGUUUUGCUGUCACUUAUAGCUGGAUCCCCGCCGCAUUAGCUAGUUGGUAAGGUAACGGCUUACCAAGGCAACGAUGCGUAGCCGACCUGAGAGGGUGAUCGGCCACACUGGAACUGAGACACGGUCCAUACUCCUACGGGAGGCAGCAGUAGGGAAUCGUCCGCAAUGGGCGAAAGCCUGACGGAGCAACGCCGCGUGAGUUAUGAAGGUCUUCGGAUCGUAAAACUCUGUUAUUAGGUAAGAACAAAUGUGUAAGUAACUAUGCACGUCUUGACGGUACCUAAUCAGAAAGCCACGGCUAACUACGUG